rnacentral:lncRNA from 1 species
UAAGAUUAUUCAUGACAAUGGAGGUCAAGUUUACAUGGAUGGGGCUAACAUGAAUGCCCAGGUCUUUUCUUUUUCCUCUUAUUCUAACUUUUUGUUUUUACUCUUUUUGUUCUUUUUUUUCUAAUCUUUUUCCAUACAGGUCGGUUUGACAAGUCCGGGUUUUAUUGGAGCCGAUGUUUGCCAUCUGAAUCUCCACAAAACCUUCUGCAUUCCACACGGAGGUGGUGGACCUGGCAUGGGACCUAUUGGUGUCAAGAAGCAUUUGGCACCAUUUUUGCCUUCACACCCUGUGGUAUAUACUCCCUGAGACUUACCUAUGCAUAUAUAUAUAUUUGUUAGCAUUUAUCACUUUUAUCACAUUGCAAACGGCAUUUAGUGGUGGAUUCUUCUGCAACAAGAUUUUCUGACCUAAUGUUGAUUUCUUCAUCAAUGUACUGUAGGUACCUACAGGAGGUAUCCCAGCCCCAGAAAAAUCAGACCCUCUUGGUACCAUUUCCGCUGCACCUUGGGGCUCUGCACUUAUCCUGCCGAUAUCUUACACUUACAUAGCCAUGAUGGGAUCUAAGGG